UGGGGAUGAAUAAGUCUGUAAGGGU
rnacentral:misc_RNA from 1 species